rnacentral:tRNA from 1 species
CCGUCGAUAGCUCAGUUGGUAGAGCGGUGGACUGUAGAUCCAUAGGUCGCUGGUUCAAGACUGGCUCGACGGA